CCUUAACAAACAUUUUCUGUACUUCCCUUUGCAGAGCUGCAGUUUUUGGUUGAGCACCACCUAUACAGGCAGCAGCAGGGAGCAGGCGACGAGUGCUCCUCAGAGAGCUGCCUGUCAGACCGGCCCAGUCCUGACUCUGUUCCUGCUGGGGAGGAACUCCCACAUGACGACGAGGCCACUGCAGAGGCCUUUGAAAAGCUGCGCUGCCAAAUGGAAGAGUUCUCCAGGGAGAGUUUAUUAGAAGCUGCAGGAGGACUGGAGUGUCCUCUCUCCAAGGAGACAGAGGACUGUUCCAGCGUCGCCAGUGUAGCAGAGCCGUCAUCACAACAAAACAACGCACAACCAGACACAAAAGCAGCAGCAUCCAGUGCAAGUCAGCCAUCAGAGGAGAAGACAAAGAAAUCCAGCCUGAAGAAGGGCAAAUAGAGUGGUCUUCUGUACAACACAAUGCUGCUCAGUCUGCUCAGCCAGCCCAACACAAUGACAGAAGAUUGUGUCUGUAAAUCCACUUUUUCGAUACAUCAGGGCAUAUAUUAUAUUCCUCUACGGUCAGGCCUUAGUUACCACCUCAACAAAGACGUUUCUACACUUAUUUUGUGUCAACAAUCUUGUGUCAAGGGCCAAUUACUACUUCAUUCUGAUUAAAUUGUUUUCUAUAAUUUACCCUGCACUAAACAUAACUAACCUAUUGAACCAGACUUCCUGUGUACAAAAUGGGAAAGAGGGAAUAUUUAUAGCGGCACAGUCACACAAUCAUUAUCACAAGCUACCAAAACUCACUGGCUUCAUGUCCCAUUUUAAUGUUCAGAGGUAACAAAUAUACUUGCAAUCUGUUUUUAUCAUUAAAUAUGUGCCAUGAAUUCUGCAAUUGUUGUUCCAUCUCAGAGCAAUAACAUUACAUCUGUACCUCAAAAACACUGGAGCAGAAUCUGUCACCCUCAAAUAUCACAGCAUCGUGUAAUAUACAGGGUGUAUCAGAAAAUAGUAGACUCUCAGAAAAAACAACAUAAAACCAAAAUGUGAAGAUAUUUUGAAAAUGUGGUCAUAUGUGUUUAUUAACUGUGUAAUUCUCCCAUGACUGACACCAGUGUCCUAGGUCAGUUUUCAUGCUUCAGUGAACAACGCUAAUUUGAAUUGUGCAAAAUAAAAGUCUUUUAUGCAUGGAAGUGUAAGAGUUAAUAGGAGAUCUGUCGCCAUUGGAUGACAAGUUCCAUUGCUCUUUUACUUUCCAAGGUUAUUAUCGUUAACAAAAACUAACAAAAUGACGAAAACUAUAAUUGAAAAAACAUUUACGUUAACUGAAAAAAAAAUAAAAACUAUAAUUAAAAGGAAAAAAAUAAUAACUAACUUAAACUGUAUUGUGUGUUUACAAAACUUACUAAAACGUAUAAAAAUUAUGGAUAAAAUUCCCUUUGUUUUCGUCUUUGUCAACAUCGGAUUGAUAUGAAAGCGAUUUAUUUCGCUCUAGCAAUUUUAUCUGCUGUCACCAUACGACACUGGACGGUCAGUCACUUGUGGUCACUAGUGGUUUACAGUCGUCUUCUGGUCCCCACUCUACCUGGAAACAUGGAGACUAAAGUUGGGAGAAAGAAGCAGAAUCCUGUCUGAGAUUUAUUUGAAUACGACGGAGAAGAAGAGAAAAGAUACGACAAAAGUAAAACUAAACUAAAACUAAGCAUUUAGAAAAAAAUGAAAAUUAAUAAAAACUAGUAAACCUGCUCUAGAAAUGAAUUAAAACGAACUGCAUUAGAGAAAAAAAGUCUAAACUAAAUAAAACUAAACUAUAAUGAAAAAUCCAAAACUAUUAGAAUCUUGUUACUUUCAUGCAUAAAACAGGACAAAAAUAAUUACAUGUUAACCCCUUACCAUCAAUACAAAGAUUUCACAUCAACGUCAGGUUUGAGUCUGUCAUGACAAACGCAAGGGGUUAAUGCUGUUAGUGAGGAUUCUUUAAACUUGUUUUGAGCUGACCAUUUGAAAUGUUAAAUAUUUCAGUCAGAAUAUGUAAUUCAUUGCAUCAUCUGAGUGUUCCCGCUUGGUAAUUUCAGUAGUUAGAAACAGACCAAAAACCAUGCAGAUAUGUUGAGGGGGGCACAAAUUUGCGUGGCAAGGAACAGGCCCAUGUGGAAGACUGAACAUACCGGAAUCCUUCGACUAACAGAAGUGUGUGCCUUCAAAUAAAAUCCUGAAGUGUAAAGCCCAAAUCUUGACACUGAGCAAAUUUUUCUAUUAAUUUUCAGUUUCUCAGCGAUGUGUGAAAUCUUUGUAUCAAUGGUAGGGGGUCAAGAUGUUACUAUUUUUUUCCUGUUUUAUGUAUGCAAGUAAAAGACCAAUGGAACUUGUCGUCCACAGUCACAGAUAUCAUAUUAACUCUUACACUUCCAUGCACAAAAGACUUCUAUUUUACACAGUUCAUAUUAGUGUUGUUCACUGAAGCAUGAAAACUGACCCAGGACACUGGUGUUAAUCAAGGGAAAAUUACAUGGUCAAUAAACAAAAUGACCACAUUUUCAAAAUGUCUUGGCAUUUUGGUUUUAUGUUGUUUUUUCGGAGAGUCUACUUUUUUCUGAUUCACCCGUAGAUGCUUGGUCAGUAAACAGCACAUCAUCAUUUAGAGAUUUUAACAAGUGCUUUUGAUGGAGUUGGAUAUAGCCACACACAAUGUACUGUAUGUAUGUGCUCGAAAGUCACGUAAUCAUGGUUUUAUUUUAAAUUAAUGAUGCUUUUUGAGCAAAGAAUUAAGGUUGAAAUUACACAGAAAACUAGGCAUUUAAUGUCUAUACAAAUGUUGCUGUAAAUGUAUAGUUCACAAGCAAAACCCAGUAAAAAUCAUGUGUCUGCAGAUAUACAGUAUUUACAGAUUUUGGAUGAACAACUAUUAAGAGUGAAGAAUUCUUCUGCACUUCAGUAUCUGGCACGUGAAUGCUUUUGGGAGUCAAAGUCUUUGUCAUAAAACACUUUCCUGCAUGGCACUGAAUGUACAGUAACUUUUUUUUUGAAGCGCGGGAUCUUUCCAGUGCUUCUUUUUGUACGUCGAACAAUUGAAACAGUCCAUUUUAGCAUCGUCAGACUCAAACUGUACUCGCUGAAUUCUCUUUUAAGUCUACUCAUUCACAGUCAUAUAUAUUUGUCAUUAUCAUUAUUUGACAUCAAAAUGUACUUAGAUUAAGUGACAAUCCUUCCGUAGCCUUCGUGUUAUAUUUAACACCCCUUGAAACAAAUAUAAUAAAUGAACAAAACCCAAACAGAAAGACACCUUGUUAAUAUUACUUUACCGGAUUUAUGAGCAGCUUGUUUCCCAGCUGCCGACAAAGACCACUAUGUCCACAACGAACAAAAAAAAGAACAGAAAACAUUCCUGUGCAAACUCUAGUUUUUCCUCUGCAAUGUAUUUAUGAACCCAUGUAAUGUUUGUUCUGUUUUGGAUGGUAAUACUGUACUUUACAUUAAUUCAAUCUGGGGCGUUUCGUUUCAGUUUUACUUGAUUGAUGAUUAUGUCUGUAA
rnacentral:lncRNA from 1 species